rnacentral:rRNA from 1 species
AAGAGUUCCGGGGGUAAAACUGACUACCGAGGUGACUGGAUCAGGAGUGAGGGGGUGUGGAGCUUCUCAGACGGGUUGAAGCAUGACCGUAAGGACAGGGGGACAGUAUGGGAGUGAGAAGGUUGGCAUGAGUAGGGAGAUGUGGGUGAGAGUCCCACAGGCCGUAAACCCAAGGUUUCCAGGGGAAGGUUCGUCCGCCCUGGGUUAGUCGGGACCUAAGCUGAGGCCGAAAGGCGUAGGUGAUGGACAACAGGUUGAUAUUCCUGUACUACCGAUAACCGUUUGAGAGAGGGGAUGACACAGUAGGAUAAGCUAAGCACACUGUUGGUUAUGUGUGCACAAGCAUUGAGGCAGUCAAAGUAGGCAAAUCCGCUUUGAUAAUGCUGGGAUGUGAUGGGGAGCGACAUUUAGUAGCGAAGUAGCUGAUUUCACACUGUCCAGAAAAGUCUCUAUCGAGGAUAAAGGUACCCGUACCGCAAACAGACACAGGUGGGUGAGGAGAGUAGACUAAGGCCAGCGAGAGAACUGGUGUUAAGGAACUGGGCAUAAGGACCCGGUAACCUAGGGCUAAGGUGUGCCACCAUCAGGUGGCCGCCGAGAA